GAAUAAAGUGUGGUGAAUGCACAUGCACGCACACACACACACGCAUGCACGCACAUGCACACAGACACAGACACACGCAUGCAGACACACGCACGGACACGCGCACGCACGCACACACAGACCCACACACGCACGCAUGCACACACGCAUUCCUUGGUAUGUGACCAGAGCUAUCCAAGCUAUCCAUUAUGUCGUAAAAUUGAGCAGAAGUUGUCACAUCCCCUUUUCCGUCAGUGCAUUGAAUCCUGGGGGAGACAUGAGAACCACAAUAUACAGGACCAACCAGAGUCCCGAGUCCCAGCCCAUCUCCUGGAUCAGAUUGGAGAGGAUAAGGCUGGAAGGAAAGCAUACCGGACUGGACCGGACCGUGGGCUGGGUGCCACAGACGCUUGACUACAACGGAAGACGACGAGUGGCUGCCAAACAAACAAUUCAACCAACAGAUGAGCAACCGACUUGAACAAUCCUCCAGCAGGUCAGACAUUAUCUCCGGGACUGAUGCUGAGUUCAUAACAAAGUGGGAAGGUGAUAUUUACCACCUACGACUGGGAAAAUCCACUUCAACUGACACUAUAAACGGGUGAUUUUUAAACUGAUAAUUUUAAAUAAUUAAACAGGGUAAACACCCAUCUGUGUGUGCAUGUGCUGGUAGUCCUCUCUCACUGACCUGCCAGGGGUCAAUAAUGUCUACAAAUGGGACAUGGAGGUCAUUACUUGGAAAUAACUUGUUUUUUCCGCAUGCACAUUGCUAUUGAGGGCUUCCAGCAUUUUAAAGUAGUCAACUGGGUGAGGAUUCCAAUGGGUUGGGAGCAAUCAGCAAAUCUGAGUAUUACCUUUAUUGGUUUGUAAAUAGCUUUAAAUGUUACCACACAAUACAUUAAGCCACUGAGUUCUUCAGUAAGGCCAAUGUUUGUCUAUGGAGAUUGCAUGGCGGUGUGCUCGAUUUUUAUACACCUGUCAGCGACGGGUGUGACUGAAAUAGCUAACUCCACUCAUUUGAAGCGUUGUCCACGUUCUUUUGUAUAUGUUGUCUAUAUCAACUCCAUCUACUGUCCACCAUACAUGAACAACAAAAUAUUUGGUUCGUAAGUCACCAAUAUUAGCUUUACACUUUUCAAACGUCAAAAGAAGAAAAUGGACUACUUUAAAAUAGAGAUACAACAUUAUCUCUAUGGCAUGGGAGAGUAGACAGGACAUACUGGGUGACAAAACCUUACUGCUGUUGAUGUGUUAGUGGGGCUCACUGUUGCUUGACUCAAGGUGAUUGUACACUAACAGGUGCAACAUGUCAUUGGCUGCUUCUCUAUAUUGUGGAUAGUAAGUCAACCAUGAGACACACGCCAGAGGGCUGUCUGUUUGAUACCACCCAUAUUAAAGCUUUCAUGGGGCUGUUGAAAAACAAAAACGUUUCCUUCCUCUUCUGUAGAAUGAAACAUAUGAGAACUCUCCAUGCCUUACUCUGUAAUUACAACCAACAUUCAGUGGAGAAUCACUGGGUUUCAGCCCACUACAGAGACUACACACUUUGAAUCAGCCUAUAUCAACCCCGACUGAACCAUGUACUUUAAUUCCCAUCCGGUUUUUAAUACAGAUGUUACACGCCCACACACACAGUUCACUCGAGUACAGGCUUCACUGAGUAAACAACAAAGAUGAAAUGCAAUCUAAGAUGUGACGGCAAGUAGCCCUUUUUAUCAAAAUAAUAUACGUUACUUACCAGAGAGAAGUGGCACAGCGAAGCAACAAUUGGAUCUAAAGUUUAAAAUCAAUGAAUUAGAUGGAAAAGAGAUGGAACAAAAUAAAAGUGAGAUUAUGCUGUAAUAGAAAGUAUUAUAUGAAAUGUAAUACCGGCAUGGCGAGCCGGUAAAAUACCACGUACGCUUUAAUGUGAUUUGUAUAAUAAAAAGUCAUGAUUGGUUGAGAUAAUGGAGGCAGAUGAAGAUAGUAUUCUGGUUGGCUUCUCUCUACUAUGAAUCCUGUGUUAGAAUCAGACUACUCUACUACUGACACAUACAUACAGUCAUCCGGACAUCUCAUGUUCUACUCAACGACCUGUGUGUGUGUCAUGCCCUGACCAUAGAAAGCUUUUCAUUCUCUAUGUUGGUUAUGUCGGGGUGUGACUAGGGUGGUUCAUCUAGGUGAUUUAUAUUUCUAUGUUGGCCUGGUUUGGUUCCCAAUCGGAGGCAGCUGUUUAUCGUUGUCUCUGAUUGGGGAUCAUAUUUAGGCAGCCAUUUCAACUUUGUGUUUUGUGGGAUCUUGUUUUUGUGUAGCUGCCUGUGAGCAGCCCAGAAUGUCACGUUUAGUUUUUCUUCUGUUUUGUUUGGUGAGUUUAUUAAUUAUUAAACAUGUGGAAUUCUACACAAUCUGCGCGUUGGUCCAAUCAUUUCGACGAGCGUGACAGAAGAUCCCACCAACAAUGUACCAAGCAGCGUGCCCAGGAGGAAACCCAGGAGUGGAGGACAUCCUGGGCGUGGGAAGAGAUUAUGGCAGGAGACAAAAGCCUGCCAUGGAAGCAGGCGGAGACAGCGAGGAAACAACAGCGACGACGCCAGGGUUCGCGGCCACGACACAAGCCCAAAAGACAGCCCACAUUUGGUCGGCGAAGUUGAGGGGUGAGUCAGAGACUGUCGAGAAGUUAAUGGACAAAUUGGAGGAGAGUGAA
ensembl:lncRNA